rnacentral:rRNA from 1 species
AUGCACCAUGCUGCUCCCUUGGAAGGCUGGCUGAGCGACGCAGCGAUGAAGGCAGUGAACGAGCUGCUGUCGUCAGGCGCCGCCGGCAACCUGAGCAGCCUCUGCUCCUGGGCCGACAAGGGGGACUGCAAGGACGAGGAGGGCGUCAAGGUCCGCUGCGUCGCUGGUGCCAUCAACAACUACACCUCCCAGCUCCUCACCUAG